AAAGGGUCAAGGUGCCGGAGUGGCAGCGCUCAUCAGACACUACAAAAGGCAUGAGUCCAUCUUGACAGCAGGACGGUGGCCAUGGAAGUCCCGUCGGAAUUCGCUAUGGACCGUGUAACAACUUACCUGUCAAAUGUCCGGAAUGCUGGCCCUGAAAAUGGAUGGCGCUCCAGCGUCCCAUCUAGACCCCGCCCUCGGGGCACAAACGAUGCCUCGG
rnacentral:ncRNA from 1 species